CGAAGCUACAGUGAGCUGAAAUUGCACGAGUGCACUCCAGCCUGGGUGACAAAGUGAGACCCUGUUAUGAAAGAAAAAAGAAAAGAAAAGAAAAGAAAAAAAGGACAGGAGGCAGUGGCCAGAACAGCAUGUAAGUGGGAUAAUUCUUGGGUAAUGAAAAGGACUAGAAUGUAGGUGAUGGACUUUGGUGACAAAAUGCAAACUAUGCAUACAACAAGGAGAGUUAAUGUUCAGAAUAUGUGAAAAAACUUUCACAAUAACUCCAAGGAAAGACUUAGGUUUUCACUACAAAGAAAUGCUAAGUGCUGAGGUGACAGAUCUACUAAAUACCCUGAUUUGACUAUUGCUCAAUGCACACAUGUACAGAAACAUCACACUGUAUCCUACAAAUAUCCACAAUUAUCACAUAUCAAUUAAAAUAAAACUUCUAAAAUACGGAAAACUUCUUAAAAGUAAACAAACAAACAAAAAUCAGGAAAAGCAGAGGCCAUAGAAUUAAAUCAGGCCAUUUAAAUGGACAUUCAAGUCAGUCAGGAUGAACUCAAGUAUAAGACUUUAGGAGAAGUGUGAAAGUUUUCACUGAAAAUUUCCAAGAGAUCUGAAGGUGGCAGUGCCAGGGAACUAGCAGUGGGGGUGGGUAGCACAUGUUUCUAAGAGCAAGAGAUUUUCUAAUAGGAGGAGAGAAAUAAUGAUUCCCAAGGAAUUGGAAGGAGCAAAGAGACUCUAUAAACCACAUUCCCACCUGAAGUACUUUAAGUACUUUGGAGUUUGAGAGAAUGUGUAAUCUCUACUUGACAUCCAAGGGAAGCAAUGCCCUCAAGGGAAAUCCAGGUUACAGUUACAGCCAGGAGAUGCAAGGAACUGUCAAAGAUAGAGCAGCCAAAGGAAAUGAGGACAUUGGCUUGUCAUACAGCUGGACUUCCAGAGACGACAACUGAAUGUUUUGUGCAGUGUAGGAGGAAAUGGGUGCUGGACCAAGGGAGAGAAUUCAGAAUAUAGUGGUAAGAGUGCAGGAGAGAAUGGGAGAACAAAGGGGCUUAGGGUUUGGAUAGUCAUCACAGAAACCAGGAAUGUUCAGCAGAGAGGGUUGCUGCAUCAGACAAAAGAAUGGAGAAGUGUGCAGGGGCCUUCUUAGCCAUCCCACAUGGAAUCAGAUAACUCAGCAAGAAAGUCUAAAUCUAGUUAUUACGUGUCCAGGAGUGGGCAGUCCUCCUGCCAGCACUGGCCCUAUGUUUAUGGUUCCCGUUAAGAGAACAGGGGCACAGGGACCAAGACGUUACUACAGAAAGUCAAGUUAUGCUCUGAAGCGCCCCCUGCCGGACCCUGUCCAGAGAGACAGGAGCAGUUGAGGCCGCUGGUCAGCACUCUGGGCUAUUUUGUGCUCCCUCCCACCUGCCCCUCCUUUUGGCCCAAGUUCUAGCCCCACUUGCUUUGUUACCCCCUCCUAUGGCAGCUUCCUCUCUGGUCUUCAGUGUCCUCAUUGAUACAGUGAACAUAGCAUCUCUCCUCUAAUCACAUAUAUUCAUACAGCGAUAUAAAUGAUGUGAAAGUACUUUGAAAAAUGUAAGUGAAAGACUGGGGCACUGACUUCUUCCCAUUUUCCCAAGUCCUGCUUCAGAACCACUCUCCUAGGCCCCAAGCCCCUAACUCCUUCUUGGCCCUUUAAUCAAACUUUGCCUACUGAGGGGCCUAACUAUAUGGUAUCCCCAGAAUGGGGACUACUAUUACAGCCCCCAUUUCUUCUCUUUGCUAUUUGCCAUGAUACUCUUAAACCUAGAGACUGGGAUCCUCUCCCUAGACCAAAAGGGAGGGGCACAUAGGCAUCAUAAUGGGCAUUCAGACAUGGUAUGAUGCGAGGGGUGGGCAUGAGACAAAUGCUGGAGUACGUCUGGGCAACACCCCAGUUACUCAUUUGGACUCACUGGGGCAAGUGAUUAACUAGAAUUCUCAAUUAAGAAAUGACAAGAAGGCUCCCUCCAAUUUCUCAAUUUCCACCCCGCCCAAUACCCAGUUUGAUUCCGCACCCUCCUAAUCCAUCCCACCCCUGUAAUCCAACCCACUCUCCUAAGGCAACCCACUUACCCCCGCUUUUUCCUCAAUCUGCCAGGACUCUUUCUCCUCUCCAGAAGUAUGUAGAUUUUUCAGUUUUCUGCUCUCACUGUUAUCCCACUGUGGCUCAUGCCUGCCCUCCCCACUAACCUACCCUAAAACUCUUCCUGCCCUGCUCUUCUGCUGUUCAUCACAGACUAUCUAUUUGCCAAUGCCGUGGUCCCACAACUCUUUCUGGUAACUUCCCUAUCUAUGCCUCUAGCCCUCUUAGCCCUGCUUGCCAAAGCUGUGGUUCCAGAGCUCUUUCCUGUGCGUCCCCUAUCUAUCCACCUACUCCUCCUCCUAGCCCUGCUUGCCAAUGCUGUGGUCCUAGAUUUCCUUCCUGUCACUCCCCUGUCUAUCCCCCUACUCCUCAUCCUAGCCCUACUACUUCCCAAUACUCUAGUCCCAGAACUCUUUCCUGUGACUCCUCUAUCUACUCCUCUACUACUUCUUCUAGCUCUGUUUGCGAAUGCUGUGGGCUCUGAACUUUUUCCUGUCACUCCCCUAUCGAUCCCCCUACUCCUCCUUAUAGCCCUUCUUUCUAGAACUCAGCCUCCAGCCCUGCCACCUGCAACCAGACCUGGCGAUUCAAAGAUCUCAUCUUGGAGAUGUUUUUCCUGCUCCUGGAGCAGUUUUGGUGCAGUUCAGAAUGGCCAGAACCAUGGCUUCAGCAGCCUGACCUGGUGGACAAAGAGAAGCAAGACAAUGGCAAACCUGCAUUCCGCCUCAUCUGCUCCUUUCCUUCCCUGCCUGAUCAGCCAGAUGGCCUAAGCUUCUACAUUUGUCCCUGGCUUCUCCAUGGAACUCAGUCUGUAGCCACAGAACAAACCACAGGGCCAGAGACAGAGAAGGUAGAGGUGAAUGAGGAGUGGGAAGCACCUCAUCUGUUCUCAAGGAGGAGAAUGAUUGGCCAAGAUGAGAUUCAAUCAUAUGUCCAUUACCUCCUGGGUCAUCCACUUGGUGGUGAGUCCUUUCCAGGCCAUGUGCAAGGGCAGUUCCAAUAACCAGGCAGGAGCUGAGAAGCCCCAGGCAGGUGAGUUGACUGCUGGAAGCAGGCGGGGUGUGAAAUAAGACCCUGAGAAGUGGGAGCGGGGUGAGGUGGAUGGGCAAUAAAAACAAGAUCUACUCCAGAAGGGUGGUACCACAGGGACAGUUGCCUGGAGAUGGAAAAAGAUGUGGUUGCCUGGAGUGGGCAGAAGGCGCGGAGCCGGUAGGGAGCAAGAGGGCACCCAGAGUACUCCAGACCAGACCAAGCAGCAUGGAGGCGAUGGUGGGACACCCGAGGGGGCAGGCGAACCCAGAUGAGGUUCAUCAGGACCAGAUUUUGUGAGGUCUGUGUGACCAUAUCAAGCCAUGUGGAGACCAUGGUGGGACACCCAAGAGAGCAGGUGACGCCAGAUGAGGUUCAUUGGGACCACAUCUUGUGGGGACUGUGUGACCAUAUCAAGCCAUGUAGAGGCCACGGUGGGACACCCGAGGGAGCAGGCGACACCACAUGAGGUUCAUCAGGACUAGAUCUUGUGGGGACCGCAUGACAAGAUCAAGCCGUGUGGAAGCCACGGUGGGACACCUGAAGGAGCAGGCGACCCCAGAUGAGGUUCAUCAGAUCUUACGGGGACCACCUGACUAGAUCAAGCCAUGUGAAGUCCGUGGUGGGACACUCCAGGGAGCAGGCGAGCCCAGAGGAGGUUCAUCGGGACCAGAUCUUCUGGGGACCGCCUGACCAGAUCAAGCUGUGGGGAGGCCACAGGGGACACCUGAGGGAGCAGGUGACACCAGAUGAUGUUCAUCGGGACCAGAUCUUGUGGGGACUGCCUGACCAGAUCAAGUUGUGUGGAGACCACGGUGGGACACCCGAGAAACCAGGCGACCCCACAUGAGGUUCAUCAGAUCUUAUGGGGUCCGCCUGAGCAGACUAAGCCGUGUGGAGGCCACGGUGGGACACCGACGGAGCAGGCGAACCCAGAUGAAGUUCAUCAGAUAUUCUGGGGACUGCAUGAUCAUAUCAAGCUGUGUGGAAGCCACGGUGGGACACCCGAGGGUGCAGGUGACCCCACAUGAGGUUCAUCGGGGCCAGAUCUCGUGGGGACCGCCUGACGGGAUCAAUCCAUGUGAAGGCCACGGUGGGACACCCGAGGGAGCAGGCGAUCCCAGGUGAGGUUCAUCAGAUCUUGUGGGGACUGCCUGACUAUAUCAAGCCGUGUGGACGCCACGGUGGGACACCUGAGGGAGCAGGUGACCCCAGAUGAGGUUAGUUGAGACCAAAUCUUGUGGGGACAGCAUGACCAGAUCAAGCCGUGUGGAGUCCACAAUAGGACACCCAAGGGAGUAGGCGACCUCAGAUGAGGUUCGUUGGGACCAGAUCUUGUGUUUACCGCAUGAGCAGAUCAAGUCGUUUGGAGGCCACGGUGGGACACCCGAGGGAGCAGGCAACCCCAGAUGAGGUUAGUUGAGACCAAAUCUUGCGGGGACAGCAUGACCAGAUCACGCCGUGUGGAGGCCAUGGUGGGACACCCGAGGAAGCAGGCGACCCCAGAUGAGGUUCAUCCGAACCAGAUCUUGUGGGGACCGCCUGACCAGAUCAAGCCGUGUGGAGGCCAUGGUGGGACACCCGAGGGAGCAGGUGACCCCACGUGAGGUUCAUCACGUUGUGGGGACCACAUGACCGGAUCAAGCAGUGUGGAGUCCAUGGCAGGAAACCCGAGGGAGCAGGCAAUCCCAGAUGAAGUUCAUCAAGACCAGAUCUUGUGGGCCCUCCUGACCAGAUCACGCCGUGUGGAGGUCACGGUGGGACUCCCAAGGGAACAAGCAACCCCAGAUGAGGUUUGUCAGAUCUUGUGGGGUCCGCCUGAGCAGACCAAGCCAUGUGGAGGCCACGGUGGGACACCCGAGGGAGCAGGCGACCCCAGAUGAGGUUCAUCAGAUCUUAUAGGGACCGCAUGAGCAGAUCAAGAUGUGUGGAGUCCAUGGUGGGAAACCAGAGGGAGCAGGCGACCCCAGAUGAGGUUUAUCAGAUUUUGUGGGGACCGCCUGACCAUACCAAGCCAUGUGGAGGCCACGGUGGGACACCCGAGGCAGCAGGCGACCCAGAUGAAGUUCAUCAAGACCAGAUCUUGUGGGGACUGCAUGACCACAUCAAGUCGUGUGGAGGCCACGGUGGGACACCUGAGGGAGCAGGUGACCCCACAUGAGGUUCAUCAGAUCUUGUAGGGACCGCAUGAGCAGAUCAAGCUGUGUGGAGACCAUGGUGGGCCACCCGAGGGAGCAGGCGACCCCAGAUGAGGUUUGUUGAGACCAGAUCUUGUGGGGACAGCAUGAUCAGAUCACACCAUGUGGAGGCCACGGUGGGACACCUGAGGGAGCAGGCGACCCCAAAUGAAGUUCAUCAGGACCAGAUCUUGUGGGAACCGCCUGACCAGAUCACACCGUGUGGAGACCACAGUGGGACACCCGAGGGAGCAGGCGACCCCAGAUGAGGUUCAUCCGAAACAGAUCUUGUGGGGACCACCUGACCAGAUCAAUGGGUGUGGAGACCACGGUGGGACACUUGAGGGAGGAGGCGACCCCAGUUCAGGUUCGUCAGAUCUUGUGGGGACCACAUGAACAGAUCAAGCUCUUUGGAGGCCAAGGUAGGACACCCAAGGAAGCAGGUGACCCCAGAUGAGGUUCAUCAGGACCAAUCUUGUGGGGACUGCCUGACCAGAUCAAUGGGUGUGGAGACCACGGUGGGGCACCCAAGGGAGCAGGUGACCCCACAUGGGGUUCAUCAGGUGUUGUGGGGACUGCGUGACCAGAUCAAGCAGUGUGGAGUCCAUGGUAGGAAAUCCGAGGGAGGAGGCGAUCCCAGAUGAAGUUCAUCAGGACCCGAACUUCUGGGGUCCGCCUGAGCAGACCAAGCAUGUGGAGGCCACGAUGGGACACCCGAUGGAGCAGGCGACCCCAGAUGAGGUUCAUCAGAUCUUCUGGGGACCGCAGGAGCAGAUCAAGAUGUGUGGAGUCCAUGGCGGGACACCCGAGGUAGCAGGCGACCCCAGAUAUGGUUCGUCGGGACCAGAACUUGUGAGGACUGCGUGACCACAUCAAGCCAUGUGGAGGCUAUGGUGGGAUACCCGAGGCAGCAGAUGACCCCACAUGAGGUUCAUCAGAUCUUGUGGGGACCGCAUGAGCAGAUCAAGAUGUGUGGAGGCCAUAGUGGGCCACCCGAGGGAGCAGGCGACCCCAGAUGAUGUUUGUUGAGACCAGAUCUUGUGGGGACAGCAUGACCAGAUCAAGCCGUGUGGAGUCCACGGUAGGACACCCGAGGGAGUAGGUGACCCCACAUGAGGUUCAUUGGGACUAGAUCUUGUGGGGACAGCAUGACCAGAUCACGCCGUGUGGAGGCCAUGGUGGGACACCCAAGGGAGCAGGCGACCCCAGAUGAGGUUCAUCUGAACCAGAUCUUGGGGGGACCGCCUGACCAGAUCAAGCUGUGUGGAGGCCACGGUGGGACACCCGACGAAGCAGGUGACCCUACAUGAGACUCAUCAGAUCUUGUGGGCACUGCGUGACCAGAUCAAGCCGUGUGGAGGCCACAGUGGGACACCCGAUGGAACAGGAGACCCCAAAUGAGGUUCAUCAGAUCUUGUGGGGACCGCCUGACCAGAUCAAUGGGUGUGGAGGCCACGGUGGGGCACCCAAGGGAGCAGGUGAUCCCAGAUGAGGUUCAUCAGGACCAGAUCUUGUGGGAACUGCCUGACCAGAUCAAUGGGUGUGGAGGCCACGGUGGAGCACCCAAGGGAGCAGGUGAUCCCAGAUGAGGUUCAUCAGGACCAGAUCUUGUGGGAACUGCCUGACCAGAUCAAUGGGUGUGGAGGCCACGGUGGAGCACCCAAGGGAGCAGGUGAUCCCAGAUGAGGUUCAUCAGGACCAGAUCUUGUGGGGACCGCCUGACCAGAUCAUGCCAUGUGGAGGCCACAGUGGGACACCUAAGGGAACAAGCGACCCCAGACGAGGUUCGUCAGAUCUUAUGGGGUCCGCCUGAGCAGACCAAGUGUGUGGAGGCCACGAUGGGACACCCGAUGGAGCAGGCAACCCCAGAUGAGGUUCAUCAGAUCUUGUGGGGACCGCAUGAUCAGAUCAAGCUGCGUGGAGGCCAAAGUAGUACACCCGAGGGAGCAGGCAACCCCAGAUGAGGUUCAUCAGAUCUUGCAGACACCGCUUGGGCAGAUCAAGCUGUGUGGAGGCCAUGGUGGGCCACCCGAAGACCCCAGAUGAGGUUUGUUGAGAUCAGAUCUUGUGGGGACAGCGUGACCAGAUCAAGCUGUGUGGAGUCCACGGUGGGACACCCGAGGGAGCAGGCGACCCCAGAUGAGGUUCAUCUGGACCAGAUCUUGUGGGGACCGCCUGACCAGAUCAAGCCGUGUGGAGGCCACGGUGGGACACCCGAAGGAACAAGCAAUCCCUGAUGAGGUUCGUCAGAUCUUGUGGGGGUCAGCCUGAGCAGACCACUCCGUGUGGAGGCCACAGUGGGACACCCGAGGGAGCAGGCGACCCCAGAUGAGGUUCACAGGACCAGAUCUUGUGGGGGCUGCGUGACCAUAUCAAGCCACGUGGAGGCCACGGUGGGACACCCGAAGGAGCAGGCGACCCCACAUUAGGUUCGUCAGAUCUUGUGGGGACCGCAUGAGCCGAUCAAGCCGUGUAGAGGCUACGGUGGGACAGCCGAGGGAGCAGGCAACCCCAGAUGAGGUUCGUCAGAUCUUGUGUGGACUGCAUGACCAGAUCAAGCUGUGUGGAGGCCAGGGUGGGACAUCCGACGGAGCAGGCAACCCCAGAUGAGUUUUAUCAUAUCUUGUGAGGACUGCGUGACCAGAUCAAGCCUUUUGCGGUCCACGGCGGGAUACCUGAGGGAGCAGGCAACCCCAGAUGAGGUUCAUCAGAUCUUGUGGGGACUGUGUGAGCAGAUCAAGCCAUGUGGAGGCCACAGCGGGACACCCGAGGGAGCAGGUGACCCUAGAUGGGGUUCGUCAGGAGCAGAUCUUGUGGGAACUGCACUUCAGUUAUGAACCUACAAACUCUAUACGCAGCAUCACAUGUAUGCCCUCUGCAAGGGUGAUGGGCCUGGUAGGAUGGAGGAAAGGCCAGAACGGGGAGUACUCCCAUGGAAAAAAGGGGCGAGUCCUGGUGGCUGUGGAAUGAAGGGUGUGGGUCCCAGUGAAGGAACAGAUGCCUUCUCACACCCCACCUCCUUUCAUAGAUGUUAGGAGCGACAUCUCUGGAAGACGCCUCGCCUACAUCACAUCAGAUGUAUUAAAUACACUAAAAUGCAUCCACAUCCCAUGAAACAUUUUCACUGUGGAGAUGAGAGACUGAACACCUUUUUCUAAUUUUGCUUUUGAAAUAUAUUUUGCAGGAUUGUUA